UAACUCAAGUAAACUAUUGUCAAAGUAUACAAAAUAAAUUUUAAAAAAUCAUAAUACUGAGAAAAGAACCAAGAUACGUAAUGAUGACGUCACAAUUGCGCGCACUAAGGUCCGGAAACAGCUUGGCCUGAAGUACAUUCGGGAAAAUGACAAAAAUGUCGACCUAACAUUUUUUUGCCAAUCCCCAAUAAAACUCAAGAAGAAGAAAUGUUUGACACUUGACACAACAAGCGAGGACAAACACGACAACUGAGGCAGGAACAUCGCGUGGGGACCCACGACGAACCGCGCCAGUUUGAGCUGAAACCAAAAUCAUCCUGCUGGUCCGGUCAGAGGUCCGUGUUUUCAGUGAGAGCGCCCCCUGUCUGCAGAGCUCUCUGGACGUUCUGCCAGAAAACCUCUGGAUGUUGUGCAACCUGGGGCCAGCUCAGCUGGUCCGGUCAGCGGGUCCGUGUUUUCAGUGAGAGCGCCCCCUGCCUGCAGAGCUCUCUGGACGUUCUGCCAGAAAACUCCCGGAUGUUGUGCAGCCUGGGGCCAGCUCAGCAGGUCCGUGUUUUCAGCGAGAGCGCCCCCUGCCUGCAGAGCUCUCUGGACGUUCUGCCAGAAAACGCCCGGAUGUUGUGCAGCCUGAGGCCAGCUCAGGUAGGUGCGCUUCUUCACCAGCUUCCUCAUGCGGUAAUAUGGAGACAGAUGAUGAGCAGGAAUGUUUUCUAAAAACAGCAGGACCAAAACAUCCUUCUGCUCAUCAAACAGGCGAAAGCUGCAAGAAAUCAGACAAAAGAAAA